UCCAGCUACUCAGGAGGCUGAGGCAGGAGAAUCUCUUGAACCCAGAAGGCGAAGGUUGCAGUGAACCGAGAUCAUGCCAUUGUACUCUAGCCUGGGUGACAAGAGCAAGACUCCGUCUCAAAAAAAAAAAAAAAAAAAAAAAGAAGUAGAGACAGGGAGACAGGGUCUCACUGUGUUGCCUAGGCCGGUCUUGAACUCCUGGGCUCAAGUGAUUCUCCCACCUUGACCUCCUAAAUUGUUGGGAUUACAGGUGUGAGACAGUGCACCUGGCCGAAAUAGCUCAAGUUUCUGAAAAACAAAUCUGAAUCUAUUUGUUAUUCUUAGCGUCACUGGUCUGGCUUUCAGAAUUAACAUACAAGGUUGCCACACCUAGUUCUGCCCAGCUUUAUGUCUUUUAUUCCAGUAUUCCACCAAAGUUUGUUUUCCUGCAUUCCAGUUCUCAAGUCUUAAGAUAAAGAUUGUACUUGACAGUUUAGUAUAUCCAUAAAACUAUUUGAGGUGGUUAAGGUUCUUGGGUUCAUUUUCCUUAAUACUUUGCUGAAUAUUGUAGAUUGUAGGCAAUGAAAAAGUCUACUAAAUUAGGAAAACCUUGAAUAAUUAGGUAUCCUAGGUAAGAGCCCCUAAACAUCAAGCAAUCUGUGAGUCUGUAAAGAAAUAAAUAUUUUUUGGAUUAUUCUUAUCUAAUUCCACCCCUGUUGGAAGAUGAUUUCUUUGUUCUUUGCAACUAUGGAAGCUGUGAAAAUCAUCACAAGUGCCUCUGAAAGCGAGUGUUAGGUUGGUUAGAGGGUUUAAUAUUUUCUGCAAUGGUUUGUAGGAAUUUUAAUAAAUGUAGUAUAUUUUCUGAGAUGAUUUUGUAAAAGUACUAUUUUAAAUAUCAAAUCAACCAAUAAAUUCACAUUUGUGUUAGGAACAGAAAUAUGGUUUAUAUCUUUGCUGGCUUGGUU
rnacentral:lncRNA from 1 species